CGCCCGGCUACGCCGAAUCCUGCCCCGGGCGACGAGGACUUCGAACCUCGGGCAGGAGCGGGGGACCCAACUUCCGGUGUCGCAAGUUGACGCCUUGGGGUGAAGCCACGCACCGCGUGGCCGGGCCGACUCAGCCCGAACCCGACAGCUCACCUCGUAGGCGUGGAGAGGGUCGGAUA
rnacentral:sRNA from 1 species